rnacentral:lncRNA from 10 species
AAUUUAAGAUAAAAAUGAUGGGAAAACAGAAAUUCUUAUAGUAUUAAAUACACAGAUUAAAAGCCAAAUAUAAAAUUCAGGUACUAACUGGAAUACUCAAAUGUUCCUUAAACUGCAGGAAGAAUUUAGGUUAAGAGACAAAUCAUCCAAAUCUCUGGAUAUGUUUUAUCUAUGAAUUGUAUCAAAUUCCUGGCAAAUCCAUAUAUUACCAGGAAUGGCUUAAGAUAUAAAAUUAUGACAAAGUAUUCAAUAUUGCACACCACAAAUGAUUACCAUAAUUCUAUCAAGUAGUCCUAAUUACCACAGAUUCCACACCAGACAUAAAUAAAAUGUUAAGGCAAUGCAUAACAGUUUGAUACUCAAAAAAUAUAUAUGUACAUACAGAAAUACAUCUAUACAUCCUAUAGCUGAAGCUCUUACCUUUUGAGAACCAUUAUCCUCCCUUUAAGAAUCUUUGUAACUGUGUAUCUUUUAUGUCCUCUCCCCAGAAAAAGGACAGAUAAUAUCUGGCACAAAAUUUUAAGAGAGUUUACUUACCAUCCAGAAACGAAUCAGUAGACUUCUGGUGAAAUUUCUACUUUACAAUUUCCAUAAUUUUUAGUUUUGUACACAAUUUAUGAAUAUGUAUAUAGAUGUACAUAUGUACAUACAUAUAAUACAUACAAACACCACUAAAACAAGUCCCAAAUUCUAAAAGAGGGUUGCCUACAAAGUUUAUUUAGGAGUUUAUUGGUUUGACAAAUUCAUUCCCUCAUUCAACAAUCACAAUGGCAUUGUGUUGUAAAUGCUGAUUUGAUUUCCAGGCUUCCCUAACCAAACUCUAUUUAACUAACAAUGCUGCUAAAAACUAGAGUAGAAAUUUACCUGUCCUAUUUAUGACUCACUACUCUCAGAUCACUGGAAAUACAUCUCAUCUGUCACAGGUGCCUUCCCAAAAGAGAAUCCUCUCUUAGUCACACAGGUAAUAUAUUCUAAAGCAAGCAGCCUCUUCCUCCUAUUCUGCAUCAUGAGUAUCAUGACAUUCACUGUCACUGAAGAGUUGAAUGUUUCUUGUCCUAUGAGAGGGAAACCCUUCUCUGACUAGCUGCAUAAACAAGUCAUUUGUGAGCUGAGAAUAAUCUGUAAUUUUAUUGCCAGCUCUUAUUCUUAAGCUCCUUUUUAAGAUGUCAGUUUCUGAUAUGUAAAGAUCUAGUUGCAUGAGGCCAGUUGGCCUGAAGAAACAGAGAAGAAAGAGUACAUGAUUCCACAAAGUUAGAGAAAAUGAUAUAUAAGAAUGGCACAGGAAAAUUAAGAAAAAUAUUUGAAGUUAAUAGGUAGCAGGAUACCUACAACAUGUCCAGCACUUUAUUAGGCAAUAUAACAUAUAAAAAGAAAUAUACAUCAUCAGCCCAAGGGAAUAAAACAGGGAAGAGGGAGAGGAGAAGACAGACAAAGAAUGAAGGAGGAAAAAAGGUGGAAGGAUAAAUGAGAAGGAAGUACGGGAGAGGGAGAAGAGAGGAUGGGGAAAGAAGGAACAAGUUUCUGAAACACAAAUAGAAUAAAAAAAAAAGCCUCACGAUUCUGAUUUGUUGUUUAAUCACUAAACUGGCAGGCAUUAACAGUAAAAGGUAGGCAGCCCGACACAGUGGAAAGAGCACUGAACUGAAAGAAAAGCCAGCAUUUACUGAGUCUCUACCAGGUAGGAGACAUUCUUAUAUAUUUUCUUGUUUAAUUUUCCUAACAAUCUUGGAGGUAGAGGGUAUAAUCACCAUCUUACAGAUGAGGAAAGCUGAACAAUAUUUUUAAACUUGCCGCUAACAGGUGCUGCAGCCAGAUUUUGAAACCAAGGCAUGCCUGUUUGUGCUCCUUCCAACACAAACACUAAUUCCAUAACCUAGUGUCAAUUCUGUUACUUAUUAGCUGUGUAAUCUCGGGUGAAUUACUCAAACUCUACAUCUGAUGUGCCUCCUCUGCAUUAGAAUGACUUUUAACUUAAUGAUCUUAAAAACCCUUUUUGUGCCUCUAAUAGUCCCAAAGAUUGUUUUAGUUUAGUGUUUACUAUUUUCUUUUAUUUAUGUAUUUUUUUUAAUUUUUUUUUUGAGACAGAGUCUUGCUCUGCUGCCCAGGAUGGAGUGUAGUGGCAUGAUUACAGCUCACUGCAGCCUCGAUCUCCUGGGCUCAGAGCAAGACUCCAUCUCAAAAAAAAAAAAAAAAA